rfam:Schistosoma rodhaini strain Burundi genome assembly, scaffold: SROB_scaffold0009543
AUCCAGCUGACGAGUCCCAAAUAGGACAAAGCGCGCGUCCUGGAU